rnacentral:lncRNA from 1 species
GCUUGCAGUUCCCCUUUUGUGAACUGAAGUUCACAAAACCCCCUUUGGAAAAAACAUAAAUCACAGGAGCAUCUGUAAUUUAUGCUUUUUCCCAGGCGCAUCCUCAGCUUUGGCCAAAUAAACCUCUAAUGGAUGGAGACUUGCUUCAGUCACUUUUUGGUUUACAUUUUGGUAACCACAAAGGGGCUUUCUGAGUGGAGUUGGCUCUUGGCCUGUAGCAACUCUCCUACUGGGGCCCUAGUACCAGCUGGAGCUCUUUAUUGCUCUGACCUAUUGGAUGAUUUGCUGAAGUCUGAGAGUUUCUCCCUCCAGAGAUCCCUAAUCACUCAAAAAUUUCCAGUUGAGAUCUGAAGUUUAUUCCACUGCAGAACUCCUUUUCUGAGAGUUCUUACUUCUAACAAGGAAGAAGACUUUCCUGCUUCCGUGAUGGCAGAGAGCAGUUUUCAGCUUGUGCCCCAUCUCCAGGGUGAAAGAUAUCUCCUUCAAAGCUUUUCAGGGGCCCAACUGGAAAAUCUUAAUGUUAAUUUAAGGUCAAAAGACAUAAUUUAGAAUUUGUUUUGGACAGGCACAUAGACCAAUGGAACAGACUAGAGAACUCAGAAAUAAAAUCACACCUCUACAACCAUCUGAUCUUCAACAAAGUUGACAAAAACAAGCAAUGGGGAAGUGAUUCUCUAUUUAACAAGUGGUGCUGUGAGAACUGGCUAGCCAUAUGCAAAAAUUGAAACUGGACCCCUUCCUUACACCGUAUACAAAAAUUAACUCAAGAUGGAUUAAAGACUUAAAUGUAAAACCCGAAAUUAUAAAAACCCUAGAAGAAAAUCUAGGCAAUACCAUUCAGGACACAGACGUGGGCAAAGAUUUUACGAUGAAAUUGCCAAAAACAAAAGCAAUGGCAACAAAAGCAAAAAUUGACAAAUGGGAUUUAAUUAAACUAAAGAGCUUCUGCACAGCGAAAGAAACUAUCAUCAGAGCAAACAGGCAGAAGAAGGUGGAAGGAGCUGACUUGCUGAGUCUUCCCACCUUCAUCUUUCUCUUGUGCUGAUGCUUCCUGCCCUCGAACAUUGAACUCCAAGUUCUUCAGCUUUUGGACUCUUGGAAACUUACACCAGUAAUUUGCCAGGGGCUGUUAGGCCUUCAGCCACAGACUGAAAGCCGCAUUGUUAGCUUCCCAACUUUUGAGGUUUGGGAACUCAGACUGAACCACCACUGGCUUCUUUGCUCCUCGGCUUGCAGGCAGCCUAUCAUGGGACUUCACCUUGUGAUCGUGUGAGUCAACUCUCCUUAAUAAACUAGAAUAUUUCUCAGAAGCCUGAACAACAUAACUUCUAAGACAAAGAUUUUUUGUGUGGACCAACUCACACUCUCCUUAAUAAACUCUCCUUAAUAAACUCCUUUCAUAUAUACAUAUAUCCUAUUAGUUCUGUCCCUUUGGAGACCCCUGACUAAUACACCACCUUCACUCAACUGGACUCUACAGGCAGAUACCCAAGAGACUGAUAUGGUAAGAAGUCUUAACUUUGUCAGAUGCCAGGGUUUCUUAGCUGCAGCCUCACAGUUAGCGGUAUUUGAUACCAACUUCACUGCCAGAACUUUAGGGAAGGAAAAACUUUCCCUCUACUCUCUGAGAGUUUGAUAAUUGAGUCUAAGAAAUAAACUGAUAGUAGACAAGUAAACAGGAGAAAGGUAUACAAAUUUAUUGCAGAAAAGUUAAUAUCCCAAAACCCAGUGAGAUCUAGAAGCAUAUACACCCUCUUCAUAGAGGGGAGGGCAGGAGUGUGGGCAACUUAGAGGAGAGUAAGUGAUUUUGGGGAAAGAUGAAUGACCCCCAGAAGAAGAGAUAAUAGCUUGUGACAAAGUCUGUCUGGCAUGGUGUGGACCUCCAGUCUCCUCUCCUGAGAUCCAAGUCAAUCUUCCCGGGUUAAUAAGACUCCUGGAGAGGAGAUUCAUAAAAAUUGAGUUCCUUUUGAGUUCAUCUUUAGGCAGAUAAGGGGAGCCCAGAGAGCCUAUGCCUAUAUUUGCUGUUUUCCAAGUGCCCUCUGUUAAAGUAAUCAGCAUAUCAAAGUGGCAUAUUUUGGGAUGUCAUUUCCUUAACUGUCUUACUUACAUGACAUGGGAACUUGAUAGACACCUAAAAAUUAAUGUGUCUGAAACUGGCUGAUGAUCUGAAAACUUGAUAUCCCUGCAGUCUUCUACACUUCAGUCUAUGGCAAGUCUAUUUUCUUAGGCCCAAAACCUUACCUCAUCCUUGACUCCCCUCUCUCUCUUAUACCCAUAUUCAAUCUACUGCAAAUCCAUAACUUUACUUUCAAAGAACACCCAGACUCUGCCUGCUUCUCACCAGCUCUAUGGCUAUCAUCCUGCUCCAAGCCACCAUUAUCUGGCCUCAGUUAUUAUAAUAACCUUCCAGCCAGUCUUCCCUCUUCCCCUCUUGGCCCCAUCCCCACGGUCUUUUACAAUACAGCAGCCAGAGUGAUCCUUGUAAAAUGUAAGUCAAAUCAUGUCCCUUGCGUACUCAAUGGUUCCCCAUUUUUCUCUGAAUAAAAGCCAGAGUCCUUAAAUGGCACACCAGACCCUGGAGGUUCUGGCCCUGCUUAUUUCCAUGCUCUCCCCUUGCUUGCUCCACUCCAGCCACACUGGCCUCUGCGGAGUUUUCUGAACUCACUAGGCAUGCCACUCAGAGCUAUGAAUUUGCUAUUCCCUCUCCCUGGACUACUCCCUCAUCACUAUAGCCAUAAGAUAGUGGAUAGAGAUAGUCCUCCCCGGACUGCUCCCUCCUCAGGUACAGCCAUAUGAUUUGCUCCCUUGUUAACAUCAUUUUCUCAAAGAAACAUUGACUUUAAGCCUUUCGAUGGCUCGUUCCUAACAGUAAAACCCAAGCUUGGCCUGCAAGUCCUGGAGCAAUCUAACUGCUUCUCCUCUCUGCAGAGUCAUCUCCCCGCUCUCUUCUCCCUGUUUACUAGACCCAGCCAUUGCAGCGUUCUUAUAGCUUUCUGAAGGCACCAAGUUCUUUGCUGUCCCUGCUUAGAACUCUUUUCCAUCUACUUCUCACUCACUAGCUCCAACUCAUCUUCUAGGUUUCAGAGCCCACGUCACUUCUUUAGGAACGCCCCUCCUCACUUACCCCUGCCAUCUAUAUUUGAUCUCUCUCUGUAAAGACUCUAUACUGUUCCUUCAUAGAACUUAAUGUAUAACUUCAUAUUCUCAUUAUGUGAUUAUUUGUGUAAUGAAUGUUUCUCCUACUCCACUGUAAGUUCCAUGAGGUCAAAAAUCUUGUCUGUCUGGUUGGUCACCAGAUACCCCACACCAGGCACAGUGCCCAGCUCAUAGUAUGUAUUUAAAAAUGAAUAGAUCUGAUUUUAUUAUACCUCUAUCUUACUUUUGCUAAUUUUUCAAAAGGACUUUAUUAUCUGUUUACCAGAAAAUAAAGUCUAUUAUCCAAGCUUGUGAUAGAUUUCUACUUGGCUAAAUAAAACAUAAUAUUCUUUUAGGUUCUCUGGGACUAGAGAGUAGUCGAAGAGCAAAUGAUUUUCAUUGGUUUAUAAUGUAUUCCUAUAGAAAUCACUUUGAUAAAAUAGAAUAAAAAUAUGCUGGAAGUUUUUGAAAACAAAGCCUAUAACUGUUCCUUUAAGGCUUAGAUCCUUAGCAAUAAAAUCCCCCGUGAUUCUAAGUCCCACUGAGUCUCUACAGCACUGCCCUCAGCUCUAACAGCUCCUGGAAGCACUGGCAGGACAUGAUCUACAUUUCCACAUGGCAGGGUUACACUCAGAUUUUGUUCCAAGCAUGCUUUUUAUGGAUCUGAUUGUCCCUCUUCUAAAGGCAGAGUUACCUCACUAGGGUAUUGAGGAUGGGGGGCUGGCUAUAGUAGGGAUGGUGCUGGAGAUUGUUGAUACAAAGGGAUCAUGAAAAUGAAUAAAGCUGUCCAGGAGACUCAGGAAGAUUCAGCCAACUCUAAGGAAGAUAUCAGUCUGGAUUUAAUCAGAGAAGCAGAACCACUAGGAGAGAGAUAUAUAAUAAAGGAUUUGUUCAGGGAUUUGAUCUUUCACAAUUACGGGAUUUGGUUAUAAAGUCUCUGUAAGGCCCUGUGUCUAAUGUUAGAGCCUGAAGUUUUCAGCAAGUAGUUGGGAAAGGAAUAUGGCUAUAAAGCAGAGGUUCUUAACUAGAGCCUAUUUUGACCCCCAGGAGACAUGUGGUACUGUUUGGAGACAUUCUGGCUUGUCACAACUUGGGUGUAGGCUAUGACAUGUAGUGAGUACAAGCCAGGGAGGCCACUAAAUAUCCUACAAUGAAUAGGCCAGUCCCCCACAGUAAAGAAUUAUCCAACCCAAAUGUCAAUAAUGCUGAGGCUGAGAAACCCUCACAUAAAGUAAGGAAAAAACUGGAAACUGCGAGUGUAAGCUGGCGCCCAAGAAGAUGAACUAGAACCAAUGCUUCCUAAUGCUUCCAGCUUUAACAAUGCAGGUGUUCGGCAGCAGACAUGGGUGCCUUUUGUCAAAAAGCUAACCGUGCACUUCACUAGAGCCAGAAAAGCUGAAGAAAGAUCCAGGGGCAGGUGGAAAAGCUGCCAGCCCAGCUGCGGUUCCACACCAAUAAGAUGGAGCAUCCCUCUUGUUGCCCAGGCUCGAGUGCAAUGGCAUGAUCUCGUCUCACGGCAACCUCCGCCUCCCAGGUUCAAGCAAUUCUCCUGCUUCAGCUUCCCAAGUAACUGGGAUUACACAGGCGUGCACCACCAUGCCCGGCUAAUUUUUUUUUGUAUUUUUAGUAGAGACAGGGUUUCUUCAUGUUGGUCAGGCUGUCUCAAACUCCUGACCUCAGGUAAUGUGCCUGGCUCCCUUCCCUGCUUUUUAUAAAUAAAAAAAAU